rnacentral:rRNA from 1 species
GUGCCAGCCGCCGCGGUAAUACCGGCAGCCCGAGUGAUGGCCGAUCUUAUUGGGCCUAAAGCGUCCGUAGCUGGCCGCGCAAGUCCAUCGGAAAAUCCACCCGCCCAACGGGUGGGCGUCCGGUGGAAACUGCGUGGCUUGGGGCCGGAGGACCCGAGGGGUACGUCCGGGGUAGGAGUGAAAUCCUGUAAUCCUGGACGGACCGCCGGUGGCGAAAGCGCCUCGGGAAGACGGACCCGACAGUGAGGGACGAAAGCUGGGAUCUCGAACCGGGUUAGAAACCCCUGUAGUCC